rnacentral:rRNA from 1 species
GACGAACGCUGGCGGCGUGCCUAAUACAUGCAAGUCGAACGCUUCUUUCCUCCCGAGUGCUUGCACUCAAUUGGAAAGAGGAGUGGCGGACGGGUGAGUAACACGUGGGUAACCUACCCAUCAGAGGGGGAUAACACUUGGAAACAGGUGCUAAUACCGCAUAACAGUUUAUGCCGCAUGGCAUAAGAGUGAAAGGCGCUUUCGGGUGUCGCUGAUGGAUGGACCCGCGGUGCAUUAGCUAGUUGGUGAGGUAACGGCUCACCAAGGCCACGAUGCAUAGCCGCCCUGAGGGGUGGAUCGGCCACCUGGGACUUGAGACACGGCCCGGCCUCCUCGGGAGGCAGCAGUAGGGAAUCUUCGGCAAUGGACGAAAGUCUGACCGAGCAACGCCGCGUGAGUGAAGAAGGUUUUCGGAUCGUAAAACUCUGUUGUUAGAGAAGAACAAGGACGUUAGUAACUGAACGUCCCCUGACGGUAUCUAACCAGAAAGCCACGGCUAACUACGUG